CAUGUCUUUUUGUUUAUGAUUUAAGGUCUGACCUGCCCAAUGAUUAUUUUAAAUGGCUGCAGUAUCCUGACUGUACAAAGGUAGCAUAAUCAUUAGUUUCUUAAUUAGAAGCUGGAAUGAAGGGUUUGAUGAGAAAUUUACUGUCUCAGUUUAAUUGUUUUAGAAUUUUAUUUUUAAGUGAAAAAGCUUAAAUUUUUUAAGAAGACGAGAAGACCCUAUAGAGUUUUAUAAAUUUUUAAUUUUUUAUUUUUUGUUUUUAAUAUUUUUAAUUAUUUGAUUUAUUUUGUUGGGGUGACGCGAAAAUUUUUCAAACUUUUCUUGAUUUUUACACUAAUUAGUGAUUUAAUGAUCCUGUUUGGAUUAUAAGAGUAAAUUACCUUAGGGAUAACAGCGUAAUUUUUUUUAAAAGUUCUUAUUGAUAAAAAAGUUUGCGACCUCGAUGUUGGAUUAAAGUUUAUUUUUGGUGCAGAAGCUAGAAAAUUUGGGUCUGUUCGAC
rnacentral:rRNA from 1 species